UGGUCGGUGAAAUUAAGAAGUCAGGUUGUCAGGGGAGGAAAGAGAGGAAAGAGAGAGCGGAAAGAGCUCAAAGCGGUCGACAGUUCGUCACCCAGUUUUAUACCAAGAAAGGGGGCCCAGAAUUCCUAGGGACGUCCCUGCAAAGAGGUAACUGACAAGGGCAGACUUGGAUCUACCAUCUCUGCAAUGUCUCUCAGUCUGAUGUCAGUUGGUGCAUUUUUGGGGCAUUCUGAGUGAUCCGCUCACUCCCUGUCCCUCGAGAGUCCCUCCUCUAAAGUGGUCCCUCUCGCCGCACUAGACUAUCCCCGGUUUCCUCUAGAGCAGGGGUUCUCAAAGUUUUGACAGCUGAGGGCCAAUUUAGCAACCCAAAAUUUGACUGAGGGCCACCAAAGGAAAAAUAAAUUGGCGGGAAACGCCGUCAGCAUCCCAGUGGUGAAAAAAAACAUUGCACCGUGGACCUCUGGGAGUGAGGUCAAGCGAGGUCUAAAUCAUGAAACUGAGGUUCAUCCUUUCAAAGUAAUGUACAGUCGGAUUAAAACUAACAAAUGUAAC
ensembl:lncRNA